rnacentral:rRNA from 1 species
GAUGGUCUUGCUAUCACUAAGAGAUGGUCCCGCGGUGUAUUAGUUAGUUGGUGAGGUAAUGGCUCGCCAAGACAAUGAUACAUAGCCGAGUUGAGAGACUGACCGGCCACAAUGGGACUGAGACACGGCCCAUACUCCUACGGGAGGCAGCAGUAGGGAAUCUUCCACAAUGGACGAAAGUCUGAUGGAGCAACGCCGCGUGUGUGAUGAAGGGUUUCGGCUCGUAAAACACUGUUGUAAGAGAAGAAUGACAUUGAGAGUAACUGUUCAAUGUGUGACGGUAUCUUACCAGAAAGGAACGGCUAAAUACGUG